UACAAAUCCACACACUGUGUUUUGUACAGGAAAGAAUGUAUACACAAGGGACGCCUGUCGAAUUUAUAUUCUCGGCCAAGAGCCAUCCUUGACAAGAGCCGAAGAUUUUCCGACAUCACUGACGUCAGUUAAAGUUUUCCCGAAGUACUCGCGUUGAUAUCUGCAGAUGAAAAAUUUUUCCGAGAUGUACCCUUGUACCCUGACAUCACCGCCUACUUGAGCAGACGCAGUUAGGAAAGGAAGGAGAGAGAAGCAGCAGCGCAUCACUGAAGGCAAGAUCAAACAAGGUGUUGUAUCGCAGUAGGGUUAAAUAGCUGAUAGCGUAGUCUAACAAGCAAGCCACAAUGCAAACACUAGCAUUUAAAUUCUCUUUGUGUUAAGGAAGGAAUGUGCUGGUAUGUUGAAGUUGGUCCAACAUUCCGAAUGUUAGUAACAACGAGAAACAAGGUUUUUUGACGUGUUUGUUUA